UACGUAGGGUGCAAGCGUUGUCCGGAAUUAUUGGGCGUAAAGAGCUCGUAGGCGGUUUGUCGCGUCGAAUGUGAAAACCCGGGGCUCAACCCCGGGCCUGCAUUCGAUACGGGCAGACUAGAGUUCGGUAGGGGAGUCUGGAAUUCCUGGUGUAGCGGUGAAAUGCGCAGAUAUCAGGAGGAACACCGGUGGCGAAGGCGGGACUCUGGGCCGGUACUGACGCUGAGGAGCGAAAGCGUGGGGAGCAAACAGG
rnacentral:rRNA from 1 species